UUUCCACUAAUAACUAUUCGGAUUAGCUCUCCUCAUAGCAUAGGCAUGCCACUAUUAUAGCAUAGCUUAGGAUUCCGUGCUUUAUGAUGUACAGUACCCCAAGAAACUAUUUCUUCAUUUUCCAAUAUAAAGCAUUUAUGAUGUUGCAUUUACUUUCUUUUCAAGCAGACCAAACCUCCCACAUAGAAACUUUUCUGGGUACAAAUGAUUUGCCAUCU
rnacentral:lncRNA from 1 species